GAUGAACGCUGGCGGCGUGCCUAAUACAUGCAAGUCGAGCGAAUGGAUUAAGAGCUUGCUCUUAUGAAGUUAGCGGCGGACGGGUGAGUAACACGUGAGUAACCUGCCCAUAAGACUGGGAUAACUCCGGGAAACCGGGGCUAAUACCGGAUAACAUUUUGAACCGCAUGGUUCGAAAUUGAAAGGCGGCUUCGGCUGUCACUUAUGGAUGGACCCGCGUCGCAUUAGCUAGUUGGUGAGGUAACGGCUCACCAAGGCAACGAUGCGUAGCCGACCUGAGAGGGUGAUCGGCCACACUGGGACUGAGACACGGCCCAGACUCCUACGGGAGGCAGCAGUAGGGAAUCUUCCGCAAUGGACGAAAGUCUGACGGAGCAACGCCGCGUGAGUGAUGAAGGCUUUCGGGUCGUAAAACUCUGUUGUUAGGGAAGAACAAGUGCUAGUUGAAUAAGCUGGCACCUUGACGGUACCCAACCAGAAAGCCACGGCUAACUACGUGCCAGCAGCCGCCGCGG
rnacentral:rRNA from 1 species